rnacentral:snRNA from 1 species
GACGUUAAUGUCUCGUCCG